GACCUCCAUGUAAACGUACAA
ensembl:ncRNA F39E9.18 ncRNA